GGUGUAGGGUGUAUGUAUGGAAUAGGGUGCAGUGUGUAGGUUAUAGGGUGUAUGUAUGGAAUAGGGUGCAGUGUGUAGGGUGUAGGGUGUAUGUACGGAAUAGGGUGCAGUGUGUAGGUUGUAGGGUGUAUGUAUGGAAUAGGGUGCAGUGUGUAGGUUGUAGGGUGUAUGUAUGGAAUAGGGUGUAGUGUGUAGGGCGUAGGGUGUAUGGAAUAGGGUGCAGUGUGUAGGUUGUAGGGUGCAUGUAUGGAAUAGGGUGCAGUGUGUAGGUUGGUGUAUGUAUGGUAUAGGGCGUAGUGUGUAGGGUGUAUGUAUG
rnacentral:lncRNA from 1 species